UGGGGAAUAUUGGACAAUGGGCGAAAGCCUGAUCCAGCCAUGCCGCGUGAGUGACGAAGGCCUUAGGGUUGUAAAACUCUUUCGUCGGGGACGAUAAUGACAGUACCUGGAGAAUAAGCUCCGGCUAACUCCGUGCCAGCAGCCGCGGUAAUACGGAGGGAGCUAGCGUUGUUCGGAAUUACUGGGCGUAAAGCGUACGUAGGCGGUGACUCAAGUCAGAGGUGAAAGCCUGGAGCUCAACUCCAGAACUGCCUUUGAAACUAGGUCGCUAGAAUCACGGAGAGGUGAGUGGAAUUCCGAGUGUAGAGGUGAAAUUCGUAGAUAUUCGGAAGAACACCAGUGGCGAAGGCGGCUCACUGGACGUGUAUUGACGCUGAGGUACGAAAGCGUGGGGAGCAAACAGGAUUAGAUACCCUAGUAGUCCCUGAGCGGGCUGGCAAGGCGCAU
rnacentral:rRNA from 1 species